rnacentral:tRNA from 1 species
GCGGGAGUAGCUCAGUUGGUAGAGCAUCAGCCUUCCAAGCUGAGGGUCGCGCGUUCGAAUCGCGUCACUCGCUCAA